AUUAAUGUCUCUAAAGCUUAUAUUUAUCCUUGUGUAACGAUGCUAUGUGUACAUUGUGUCCCUUUAACUGUUCCCAAAGCAAUGCAAUUUUAUUUUCAUUUCCUCUGUGCAUUUGUUACAUAGCCUUCAGAUUCUUUUUUCAUUUUUGAGUCAAUUUUUCUCCCAUAAAAUCAGUUAAUUGUUGAAUAGUUGAAUCAGUUAAAAUAAUUUAUUUAUUGGUGUUCUGUUUUCCCACCAGUGAUCCAAUGUGAUCUGUUUUCAAAUAAAAUCCAAACAAU
rnacentral:sRNA from 1 species